UAGUAACGGCGAGUGAAGCGGCAACAGCUCAAAUUUGAAAUCUGGCCCUUGCGGUCCGAGUUGUAAUUUGUAGAGGAUGCUUUUGGUUAGGUGCCUUCCGAGUUCCCUGGAACGGGACGCCAUAGAGGGUGAGAGCCCCGUCUGGUUGGAUACCGAGCCUCUGUAAAGCUCCUUCGACGAGUCGAGUAGUUUGGGAAUGCUGCUCUAAAUGGGAGGUAUAUGUCUUCUAAAGCUAAAUAUUGGCCAGAGACCGAUAGCGCACAAGUAGAGUGAUCGAAAGAUGAAAAGCACUUUGAAAAGAGGGUUAAAAAGUACGUGAAAUUGUUGAAAGGGAAGCGCUUGUGACCAGACUUGGGCCCGGUCAAUCAUCCAGGGUUCUCCCUGGUGCACUUGGCCGGCCCAGGCCAGCAUCAGUUUGUCGCGGGGGAUAAAGACGUUGGGAAUGUGGCUCCUCCGGGAGUGUUAUAGCCCUUCGUGUAAUACCCUGCUUCGGACUGAGGUUCGCGCAUCUGCAAGGAUGCUGGCGUAAUGGUCAUCAGCGACCCGUCUUGAAACACGGACCAAGGAGUCGUCUUCGUAUGCGAGUGUUCGGGUGUCAAACCCCUACGCGUAAUGAAAGUGAACGCAGGUGAGAGCUUCGGCGCAUCAUCGACCGAUCCUGAUGUUCUCGGAUGGAUUUGAGUAAGAGCAUACGGGGCCGGACCCGAAAGAAGGUGAACUAUGCCUGUAUAGGGUGAAGCCAGAGGAAACUCUGGUGGAGGCUCGCAGCGGUUCUGACGUGCAAAUCGAUCGUCAAAUAUGGG
rnacentral:rRNA from 1 species